rnacentral:rRNA from 1 species
UCCUACGGGAGGCAGCAGUGGGGAAUUUUGGACAAUGGGCGCAAGCCUGAUCCAGCCAUGCCGCGUGCAGGAUGAAGGCCUUCGGGUUGUAAACUGCUUUUGUACGGAACGAAAAAGCUCUCUCUAAUACAGGGGGUGAAUGACGGUACCGUAAGAAUAAGCACCGGCUAACUACGUGCCAGCAGCCGCGGUAAUACGUAGGGUGCAAGCGUUAAUCGGAAUUACUGGGCGUAAAGCGUGCGCAGGCGGUUAUGUAAGACAGAGGUGAAAUCCCCGGGCUCAACCUGGGAACUGCAUUUGUGACUGCACGGCUGGAGUGCGGCAGAGGGGGAUGGAAUUCCGCGUGUAGCAGUGAAAUGCGUAGAUAUGCGGAGGAACACCGAUGGCGAAGGCAAUCCCCUGGGCCUGCACUGACGCUCAUGCACGAAAGCGUGGGGAGCAAACAGGAUUAGAUACCCCGGUAGUC